AGCGAACGGUGGCGGCGUGGAUUAGGCAUGCAAGUCGGACGCGAACGGAGAGCUUGCUCUCCUAUUAGAGUGGCGAACGGGUGAGUAAUGUAUGGAUGACCUACCUCGGACUCUGGGACAACCGCUGGAAACGGUGGCUAAUACCGGAUGGUCCUGGCGAUUCAUUUUGCCAGGUAAAGAUACUUGUAUUGGUCCGUGAGGGAUCCAUAUCCCAUCAGCUUGUUGGCGGGGUAAUGGCCCACCAAGGCAACGACGGGUAGCCGGACUGAGAGGUCGACCGGCCACAUCGGGACUGAGACACUGCCCGGACUCCUACGGGAGGCUGCAGUCGAGAAUCUUCCGCAACGGGCGCAAGCCUGACGGAGCGACGCCGCGUGAAGGAUGACGGCCUCGGUUGUAACGUUACUGUC
rnacentral:rRNA from 1 species